CAUCUUUUCUUGUUAGUUUUUGAAGUAUGGCCUGCCCACUGACUUAGAGUUGAAGGGCCGCGGUAUUUUGACCGUGCAAAGGUAGCAUAAUCAUUAGUUCUUUAAUUGUGAUCUGGUAUGAAUGGCUUGACGAGACAUAAGCUGUCUUAGAAGUAUUGAUUUAUUGAAUUUGGUUUUUGAGUUAAAAUUCUUAAAUGUUUUUAUGGGACGAGAAGACCCUAUAGAGUUUGACAAUUUUCCUAUUUAUUCGUUGUUUGUUUUAUUUACAUUGAGUGGGAGUGAAUUGUUUUGUUGGGGUGAUGGGAGGAAUAUUGUUUAACUCCUCUUUGUUUUUAUAUAUUUAUGUAUAUAUUUUUGAUCCAUUUAUUUUGAUUAUAAGAUUAAAUUACCUUA
rnacentral:rRNA from 1 species